GGCUGCUGGAGCAAAGCGAACCGGACCUGGGCGCUGCUGCUCCGGCUUGCUGCUGCGGCGGCUCCUGUGGCUGCUGGGGGACCUCUCGGAGGAGAGCGGACUUGACUCUGAGCGCGCAGCAGAAAGGGACCUGUGCAGGGGGUACUCACACCAACGCACGCCGCACUGCAGCGACGCAGGCAGAUAGACAUGAAAAGCUUGCUGCGAUGUUUGGAAUCAACAUGGAAGAAAAGGAGCGCAUCACGUACAGUUUUCUACAUCACCCAGAGCCCCCUUCAACUUUGCAGCAGCUACUUAUGUCUUGGUCUCCUGUGUUGAGUCAGACAGAAUUGUUCAACUUAUCUCUCACACAACUUCCAGAAUCUGAAGUCGAUUCACAUCUGCUCACGAGUGUUUUAUUCACUGUGAUUAAGAAUUUAAAAAAAAAUACAUGAGCUACAUUUAUGCUUCUUUUCAUACUUUUGUAAUGCAUCACAUUACAGUUAACUCUAAAAUGUUGUCUGUAUUGUGACAUUACUCAUUUAAGUUGGUCUAUGAUUUUAAUAUAGACCAACUUAAAUAGUGCAGAAUUGUCAGGGCAACUAAAAAUCUGAUAAAAGUGCACAUUGUGCAUUUCUGCUCACCCUUACUGUAGUUCCUUCAAAUGAAAUUCACUGCAACAAAUUGCUUCAGCACUUUGCAGAACCAUAUUUUGCUGCAAGCUCUUCACUUCUAAAGAUAAACGUUUGGAAGUUCUUUGUUUUACAGCAUAGCUAAAGUUCAAUCAAAUGGAAUAGUGUCUGAACAGAUUCCUGGUUGCAUUUAGGUCUGAAUGAAUUUCCUUUGUUCAUCGCCAUUACAUUGUAGCUCUGGCUUUAUCUUUUGGGUCGUUGGCUCCCUGGAAGCAUUUUUAUAGCAUCAUUCUGUGCAACCUACAGUUUGUUUCAUUCUGGAUAAUGUGAACUGUUAGCGCUCCAACAAUAGUUGUCCUGAGCUCCAGAAACUCGGAGGAACUCCAGAGAUCAUGGGCCGUCUGAAGGCGGUCAACUGAAGUGGAAUUAAAGGCAUCAGACUAAAGGGGCAUCAUUGCAAGUCACAUUUUUCUGAUUUUUAUUUGUGUAAUAAAAAUAAUACCAUGUUCUUGAUUUAUUAUAUAAAAUCAUAAUAAGAUGCACUACAAAGUGUGUUUUAACCUUUUGCUACAAUAAUUUAAAAUGAGAAAGAGUUUGUCUUGAUCCCUAUUCUUAGAUUUUGUCUUGAACCUCUUGGCAGUUUUACUGCAUCACUAAAAAUGUUUUAACAAUCAUUAGAUUAUGCUAUCUUUUGACAUUUUUCAGAUCUGGCCAAUUUUUAUUGCUUUGACUGAUUGAACUUUAUCUUCUGUGCUCAUUUUGUUUGCUACUAAAUUUGCAGAGCUGCAUUGCUCACUCCUUUCUUUAGAGGACUGGUACUUAUUUAUUUUCCACAUGUAUUGUUUUGCCUCUGGAAAUAAACUAUUUCAGUUUUUAAUACUU